AAGUGGGAUGACGUCAAGUCAGCAUGGCCUUUAUAUCCUGGGCUACACACACGCUACAAUGGGAAGGGACAAUAGGUUGCGAAGCCGCGAGGCGGAGCCAAUCCAGCAAAACUUCCCUCAGUUCAGAUUGCAGGCUGCAACUCGCCUGCAUGAAGUUGGAGUUGCUAGUAAACGCAGGUCAGCCAUACUGCGUUGAAUACGUUCCCGGGGCUU
rnacentral:rRNA from 1 species